AAGCUGCCCAGCUUCUACACUCUCCUAAGUAAUUGGUUAUUUUGUAGGUGGUGAAGUGGAAUGUAUGUGAAUGUGAACCCUUUGUCUCGCACAUCAGCGGUUCAUGCUUUCCCGUCCCAUUCGGCGGAUGGGUUACGUAUACACCAUGCACAUGGCUGAGCAGAAGACACAGCUGCAAUACGUGUUUUACUCUUCGUUGAGCAUGAUGAAGUUUGGUUUUCGGAGAACUUUUGCAAGUGCAUCAUUCGGCUUGGUCACUGUGUCAGCACGCAUUUUUUUGGGACCAUGUAUGACUAGUUAUUCACCACUUUUGGAGG
rnacentral:sRNA from 1 species